CCUACGGGAGGCAGCAGUGAGGAAUAUUGGUCAAUGGACGAGAGUCUGAACCAGCCAAGUAGCGUGAAGGAUGACUGCCCUAUGGGUUGUAAACUUCUUUUAUAUGGGAAUAAAGUGUUCCACGUGUGGGAUUUUGUAUGUACCAUAUGAAUAAGGAUCGGCUAACUCCGUGCCAGCAGCCGCGGUAAUACGGAGGAUCCGAGCGUUAUCCGGAUUUAUUGGGUUUAAAGGGAGCGUAGGUGGAUUGUUAAGUCAGUUGUGAAAGUUUGCGGCUCAACCGUAAAAUUGCAGUUGAUACUGGCAGUCUUGAGUACAGUAGAGGUGGGCGGAAUUCGUGGUGUAGCGGUGAAAUGCUUAGAUAUCACGAAGAACUCCGAUUGCGAAGGCAGUUCACUGGACUGCAACUGACACUGAGGCUCGAAAGUGUGGGUAUCAAACAGGAUUAGAUACCCUAGUAGUC
rnacentral:rRNA from 1 species